rnacentral:rRNA from 1 species
GACGAACGCUGGCGGCGUGCUUAACACAUGCAAGUCGAACGGAAAGGCCCUGCUUUUGUGGGGUGCUCGAGUGGCGAACGGGUGAGUAACACGUGAGUAACCUGCCCUUGACUUUGGGAUAACUUCAGGAAACUGGGGCUAAUACCGGAUAGGAGCUCCUGCUGCAUGGUGGGGGUUGGAAAGUUUCGGCGGUUGGGGAUGGACUCGCGGCUUAUCAGCUUGUUGGUGGGGUAGUGGCUUACCAAGGCUUUGACGGGUAGCCGGCCUGAGAGGCUGACCGGCCACAUUGGGACUGAGAUACGGCCCAGACUCCUACGGGAGGCAGCAGUGGGGAAUAUUGCACAAUGGGCGGAAGCCUGAUGCAGCAACGCCGCGUGCGGGAUGACGGCCUUCGGGUUGUAAACCGCUUUCGCCUGUGACGAAGCGUGAGUGACGGUAAUGGGUAAAGAAGCACCGGCUAACUACGUG